UACGUAGGGUGCGAGCGUUUAAUCGGAAUUACUGGGCGUAAAGCGUGCGCAGGCGGCGCGUUAAGACAGGUGUGAAAGCCCCGAGCUUAACUUGGGAAUUGCGCUUGUGACUGGCGUGCUGGAGUGUGGCAGAGGGAGGUGGAAUUCCACGUGUAGCAGUGAAAUGCGUAGAGAUGUGGAGGAACACCGAUGGCGAAGGCGC
rnacentral:rRNA from 1 species